AAGAAUAAGCACCGGCUAACUACGUGCCAGCAGCCGCGGUAAUACGUAGGGUGCAAGCGUUAAUCGGAAUUACUGGGCGUAAAGCGUGCGCAGGCGGUUUUGUAAGUCUGACGUGAAAUCCCCGGGCUCAACCUGGGAAUGGCAUUGGAGACUGCAAAGCUAGAGUUUGGCAGAGGGGGGUGGAAUUCCACGUGUAGCAGUGAAAUGCGUAGAUAUGUG
rnacentral:rRNA from 1 species